GGGUGCGAGCGUUGUCCGGAAUCACUGGGCGUAAAGGGCGCGUAGGUGGCGACCCAAGUCAACGGUGAAAGCUCGGCGCUUAACGCCGAGUCGGCCGUCGAUACUGGGUGGCUCGAGCACUGUAGAGGCAGAUGGAAUUCCGGGCGUAGCGGUGGAAUGCGUAGAGAUCCGGAAGAACACCGGUGGCGAAGGCGGUCUGCUGGGCAGUUGCUGACACUGAGGCGCGACAGCGUGGGGAGCAAACAGG
rnacentral:rRNA from 1 species